GACGAACGCUGGCGGUGUGCUUAACACAUGCAAGUCGAACGGUAAGGCCCUUUCGGGGGUACACGAGUGGCGAACGGGUGCGUAACACGUGAGUAACCUGCCCUCAUCUCUGGGAUAACAGUCGGAAACGGUUGCUAAUACUGGAUAUGAGCUUGCAAGGCAUCUUGUGGGUUGGAAAGAUUUUUUUUGGUUGGGGAUGGACUCGCGGCCUAUCAGCUUGUUGGUGAGGUAGUGGCUCACCAAGGCUUCGACGGGUAGCCGGCCUGAGAGGGCGACCGGCCACAUUGGGACUGAGAUACGGCCCAAACUCCUACGGGAGGCAGCAAUGGGGAAUAUUGCACAAUGGACGGAAGUCUGAUGCAGCAACGCCGCGUGCGGGAUGACGGCCUUCGGGUUGUAAACCGCUUUCAAUUGUGACGAAGCUUUUUUGUGACGGUAGCAGUAGAAGAAGCACCGGCUAACUACGUG
rnacentral:rRNA from 1 species